rnacentral:rRNA from 1 species
ACGAACGCUGGCGGCGUGCCUAACACAUGCAAGUCGAACGGAGACGAUAGCAAUAUUGUCUUAGUGGCGGACGGGUGAGUAACGCGUGAGUAACCUGCCUUUCGGAGGGGGACAACAGCUGGAAACGGCUGCUAAUACCGCAUAACGUAUAUUGAGGGCAUCCUCGAUAUACCAAAGAUUUAUCGCCGAAAGAUGGACUCGCGUCUGAUUAGCUAGUUGGUGAGGUAAUGGCUCACCAAGGCUGCGAUCAGUAGCCGGACUGAGAGGUUGAACGGCCACAUUGGGACUGAGAUACGGCCCAGACUCCUACGGGAGGCAGCAGUGGGGAAUAUUGGGCAAUGGGGGAAACCCUGACCCAGCAACGCCGCGUGAAGGAAGAAGGCUUUCGGGUUGUAAACUUCUUUGACCAGGGACGAAACAAAUGACGGUACCUGGAAAACAAGCCACGGCUAACUACGU